rnacentral:rRNA from 1 species
CGACCUGCUAAAUAGUAUGGCGAAUUCUCCGGGAUUCGUUUAUGACUUCUUAGAGGGACUAUUGGUGCUUUAGCCGAUGGAAGUUCGAGGCAAUAACAGGUCUGUGAUGCCCUUAGAUGUCCUGGGCCGCACGCGCGCUACACUGAUACGUUCAUCGAGCUUACAACCUUGGCUGAAAGGCCUGGGUAAUCUUUUUAAACCGUAUCGUGCUGGGGAUAGAUUAUUGUAAUUUUUAAUCUUCAACGAGGAAUUCCUAGUAAACGCUGGUCAUCAACCAGCAUUGAUUACGUCCCUGCCCUUUGUACACACCGCCCGUCGCU